UUCAGUGUGGAGGAAUGUAUAGAGUGUUCUUCAGUGGUAGAGUGUAUAGAGUGUUCUUCAGUGGAGGAAUGUAUAGAGUGUCCUUCAGUGGUAGAGUGUAUAGAGUGUUCUUCAGUG